CUUGAAACCUUUGAAAUGGGAUGCUCACGACCUGGUCUCCCUAGCUGUGGAUCACCCUCUAUGCCUCAACUGGAAACACAAAUACAAAUGAAGGAGGGAUAUCACAUCAGUUUAGGCUGAAAGGACACACCUUUCACUGGCUUGAUUGGUCAGAUUCUGUAAUCCUACUGAGCAUGGAAAGUGCCACCAAAGGUUGAUAAACCACCACAUACAAAGCCGUGCUGCAGAAGUCUUCCCUUCUGUCCAAUGACGGUUUCAUUUGUCUGGAAUGGAUUCUU